UAUGAGGAAGAGCUUUCUAAUUGCUGGGCC
rnacentral:piRNA from 1 species